UGGGGAAUAUUGCGCAAUGGGCGAAAGCCUGACGCAGCAACGCCGCGUGCGGGAUGAAGGCCUUCGGGUUGUAAACCGCUUUCAGCAGGGACGAAACUGACGGUACCUGCAGAAGAAGCCCCGGCUAACUACGUGCCAGCAGCCGCGGUAAUACGCAGGGGGCUAGCGUUAUCCGGAUUCAUUGGGCGUAAAGCGCGCGUAGGCGGGCUGUUAAGUCAGGUGUGAAAACCGGGGGCUCAACCCGCGGCCUGCACCUGAAACUGGCAGCCUCGAGUCUGGUAGAGGAAAGUGGAAUUCCCAGUGUAGCGGUGAAAUGCGCAGAUAUUGGGAGGAACACCAGUGGCGAAGGCGGCUUUCUGGGCCACGACUGACGCUGAGGCGCGAAAGCUAGGGGAGCAAACA
rnacentral:rRNA from 1 species